rnacentral:rRNA from 1 species
UGAGACACGGUCCAGACUCCUACGGGAGGCAGCAGUGGGGAAUAUUGCACAAUGGGCGCAAGCCUGAUGCAGCCAUGCCGCGUGUAUGAAGAAGGCCUUCGGGUUGUAAAGUACUUUCAGCGGGGAGGAAGGGUGAGAGGUUAAUAACCUYCUGCAUUGACGUUACCCGCAGAAGAAGCACCGGCUAACUCCGUGCCAGCAGCCGCGGUAAUACGGAGGGUGCAAGCGUUAAUCGGAAUUACUGGGCGUAAAGCGCACGCAGGCGGUCUGUCAAGUCGGAUGUGAAAUCCCCGGGCUUAACCUGGGAACUGCAUUCGAAACUGGCAGGCUAGAGUCUCGUAGAGGGGGGUAGAAUUCCAGGUGUAGCGGUGAAAUGCGUAGAGAUCUGGAGGAAUACCGGUGGCGAAGGCGGCCCCCUGG